AUUGAACGCUGGCGGCAGGCUUAACACAUGCAAGUCGGGCGGGGUGAUGGUGCUUGCACUAUCACUUAGCGGCGGACGGGUGAGUAAUGCUUAGGAAUCUGCCUAUUAGUGGGGGACAACAUCUCGAAAGGGAUGCUAAUACCGCAUACGUCCUACGGGAGAAAGCAGGGGAUCACUUGUGACCUUGCGCUAAUAGAUGAGCCUAAGUCGGAUUAGCUAGUUGGUGGGGUAAAGGGCUACCAAGGCGACGAUCUGUAGCGGGUCUGAGAGGAUGAUCCGCGAAGCGGGGACGGAGACACGGCCCAGACUCCGACGGGAGGCAGCAGUGGGGAAUAUUGGACAAUGGGGGGAACCCUGAUCCAGCCAUGCCGCGUGUGUGAAGAAGGCCUUAUGGUUGUAAAGCACUUUAAGCGAGGAGGAGGCUCUUUUGGUUAAUACCCAAGAUGAGUGGACGUUACUCGCAGAAUAAGCACCGGCUAACUCUGUGCCAGCCGCCGCAGUAAAAC
rnacentral:rRNA from 1 species